CAAGUCGUUCAACAGUUUCUGACUCCAUAUUGGGGACGGUGCGAAUGGAAAAUUUACCAAUAACUUUCGCGGGAAUAACCGUUUUAGCACCACUGCCACUAAAGGCACCUUCAAUACCAUGAAGUGAAAGUGUAGGAUAUCUCCAGCGAUGUUGAAGUGUUCUCUUGGGAUCGGGAUAAAUAGAAAUAUCAGCACCGACCGCCUCUUUCAAAUCUUCCAUUGUAUAAUCAAUUCCAUCAUAAAUACUAUCCUCGGUAGGUGUGAGUUCUGCU